GAGUUUCUCACAGCAGAGAAGAAGAAAGACAGAGAUCAUCUUCCUCUCAUCAUCAUCAUCUUCCUCUUCAUCAUCAUGAAGACUCUUGGCUUCACCUGGGACUGCUGCUGCUCACUGUCUGCUGGUGCAACGCCGGGCCCCAAGAGGAAGAAGAAGAAGAAGUGCACCCUGCCUUCCCCCGAAACUCUGCUGCUUCAUCUUUUUCCA